GACGAACGCUGGCGGCGUGCUUAACACAUGCAAGUCGAACGGAAAGGCCCUGCUUUUGUGGGGUGCUCGAGUGGCGAACGGGUGAGUAACACGUGAGUAACCUGCCCUUGACUUUGGGAUAACUUCAGGAAACUGGGGCUAAUACCGGAUAGGAGCUCCUGCUGCAUGGUGGGGGUUGGAAAGUUUCGGCGGUUGGGGAUGGACUCGCGGCUUAUCAGCUUGUUGGUGGGGUAGUGGCUUACCAAGGCUUUGACGGGUAGCCGGCCUGAGAGGGUGACCGGCCCCAUUGGGGCUGAGAUACGGGCCCGACUCCUACGGGGGGCAGCAGUGGGGAAUUUUGCACAAUGGGCGGAAGCCUGAUGCAGCAACGCCGCGUGCGGGAUGACGGCCUUCGGGUUGUAAACCGCUUUCGCCUGUGACGAAGCGUGAGUGACGGUAAUGGGUAAAGAAGCACCGGCUAACUACGUG
rnacentral:rRNA from 1 species